rnacentral:rRNA from 1 species
UGGGGGAUCGAUCGGUUCGAGCGCCGAUGAAGGUCGUGCCAAGCUGCGAUAUGUCCCGGGUAACCGCAUGGAGGUUUUGAUCCGGGAAUUGCCUAAUGGGACUUCCUGUAUCUUCGGAUACGUUCGCAUUAGCGAUCGGGAACCUGCCGAAUUGAAGCAUCUUAGUAAGCAGAGGAAAAGAAAUCAAAGAGAUUGGGUUAGUAAAGGCGAUCGAAAACCCAACAGGGCAAACCGAAUCCCUUGGUGAAAGCCAAGGGAGAUGUGGAGUUAGGACCCGUUUACUCCGUAAAGGCUAAGUAGAAGUCCCCUGGAACGGGGCGCCAUAGAGGGUGACAGCCCCUUACACGUAAACCCUGGGAGAUUUUCAGGUAUCCAGAGUAGCGUGCGUUGGAAAUCGCGCGUGAAUGUGGGGCGCAUCAAGCUCCAACCCUAAAUACGACUCGAAACCGAUAGUGCACUAGUAGCGUGAGUGAAAGCUGCAAAGUACCCCUAGCGGGAGGUAAAAAGAGCGUGAAACCAAAUGGUUACAGACUGUAUGGGCGUGAAAGCAACGACCACACCGCAAGGUGUGUAGCAGCGUCCAUGCGUUCGUUUCGAAAAAUGAGCCAGGGAGUUCUUGGUAAUGGCGAGGUUAACCGCUUUACGCGGGGAGCCGCAGGGAAACCAAUUGUCCGCAGCAUUAGCAAGGGACGAGGUGUGUUCGCCUUCAGUCAUUAUCUGGAGACCCGAAGCCAGCCGAUCUAUGCCUGACCAGGUUGAAGCCUACUGAAAGGUGGGUGGAGGACCGAAGCGGUGCUGAUGUGCAAAUCGCUCGCGUGAGUUGGGUAUAGGGGUGAAAGUCCAAUCGAGACUGGAUAUAGCUGGUUCCCUCCGAGACUACUCGCAGGUAGAUCUCCGGGGAGACAGGUCGUGCGGUAGAGCACUGAUUGGGUGUUUAGGGGGAGAAAUUCCUCGGCAUCCUGUCAAACUCCGAACGUGCGAUCGUCGUAGAUCCGGGGUAGUGAGGGCAUCUGGGGUAAGCUUGAUGUCCAAAAGGGAAACAACCCAGCCUUAUGUUAAGGUCCCUAAGUACUAGCUAAGUGCUAUAGAACAAAAUGCGUCCGUGGCCUCAGACAACCAGGAGGUGGGCUUAGAAGCAGCCACCCUUUAAAGAGUUCGUAACAGAUCACUGGUCGAGGUCAUGGGCCAUGAAAAUGGACGGGGCUAAAGCUAGUCACCGAUACAUAAGCGCACACAUAGUGUGAUCGGGUAGGAGGGCGUCGUGCGUGGGUAGAAGCUGGGGCGUGAGUUCCAGUGGACCGCGUUCGAACGAGAAUCCUGGCAAAAGUAGCAGCACAGUACGGUGAGAAUCCGUACCGCCGAAGGGGCUAGGGUUCCUCGACUAUGUUCAUCAGUCGAGGGUUAGUCGGUCCUAAGGUGCAUCUUAACCGAAUGCAUCGAAAGGGAAACAGGUUAAUAUUCCUGUACCACUCCACAACAAUGGGGACGCAUGCGGAUAGGUUUUGCAGACUCGUCUGUCUGUCCAAGCGUAUUAAACCGGGGAAGAACCGUCAUGGUGAGAACCCGGCCAAAGCGUGAUGGGUACGCCAUUAGGCGUAUAUUACCGAUUUCGGGUGCCCGUGAAAACCCGUGGAAGUGUCCGUACCGAGAUCUGACACAGGUGCCCCUGGCUGAGAAGGCCAAGGCGUUUCGGGUACAAUCAUGGCGAGGGAAUUCGGCAAAUUAGCCCUGUAACUUCGGGAUAAGGGGUGCCAGCUUUGAAGAAAGCUGGUCGCAGUGACUAGGGAGCUCCGACUGUUUAAUAAAAACACAGGCGACAGCAAGUUCGAAAGGAUGUGUAUUGUCGCUGAAUCCUGCCCAGUGUGGGUAUCUGAAAACCCGGUUCAACGGGACGAAGGACCCAUAAACGGCGGGGGUAACUAUGACCCUCUUAAGGUAGCGUAAUACCUUGCCGCUUAAUUGGCGGCUUGCAUGAAUGGCGCAACGAGAGCUCUACUGUCCCCGCCAUGAGCCCGGUGAAAUUGACUUACUGGCGCACAGUCCAGUACCUUCUAGAAGGAAGCGAAGACCCCGUAGAGCUUUACUGCAGCCUGUCGCUGUGUUACGAUACUCGGUGUGAAGUGUAGGUGGGAGACGUCGAAAGAUGCUCGCUAGGGCAUCUGGAGUCGACAAUGGGACACCACCCAUCUUGUGUCGUAACACUAACUAUCUCUAUAGGACAACGGUAGGUGGGCAGUUUGGGUGGGGCGCCACGCGCUCGAAAAGAUAUCAAGCGCGCCCAAUGGUCACCUCAGGGAGUUCAGAAAUCUCCCGUAGAAUGCAAGGGUAAAAGGUGGCUUUACACGGGUUGGCCCAAUAACAAUCCGUGUUGCGAAAGCAGGGCCUAGCGAACCACUCGUGCUUAUUGAUGAGGCAGAGUGAUAACAGAAAAGUUACCUCGGGGAUAACUGAGUUGUCUUCAGUAAGAGUCCAUAUCGACCUGAAGGCUUGCUACUUCGAUGUCGUCUCCCCCCAACCUGGCGGUGCAGCAGCUGCCAAGGGUGGGGUUGUUCGCCCAUUAAAGGGGAUCGUGAGAUGGGUUUAGACCGUCGUGAGACAGGUUUGUUGCUAACUUCUAGAAGCGUUGAUGCCUGAAGGUAAAAGGCCCUUAGUACGAGAGGAACAGGGCCCUGCAGCCACUAGUUUACCAGUUGUCCGACAGGGCACCGCUGGGUAGCCACGCUGUAAGGGAUAAGAGCUGAAAGCAUCUAAGCUCGAAACCCGCCCUAAGACGAGGCAUCUUAGGACUCCCGUAUAAGACGGGUUUGAUAGAAAGGGGAUGUAA